GACGAACGCUGGCGGCGUGCUUAACACAUGCAAGUCGAACGGAAAGGCCCUGCAUUUGUGGGGUGCUCGAGUGGCGAACGGGUGAGUAACACGUGAGUAACCUGCCCUCGACUUUGGGAUAACUUCAGGAAACUGGGGCUACUACCGGAUAGUAGCUCCUGCUGCAUGGAGGGGGGUGGAAAGUUUCGGCGGUCGGAGAUGGACUCGCGGCUUAUCAGCUUGUUGGGGGGGUAGUGGCGUACCACGGCUUGGACGGGUAGCCCGCCUUGGAGGGGGAGCGGGCACAUGAGGACUGCGAUACGGCGCAGUGUGGAACAUGGGGCAGCAGGGGGGAAUAUUACGCAGCGGGCCGGCGCGUAAUGCAACAACGCCGCGUUCGGAAUGACCGUCUACGGGUUGUAAACCGCUUAAGCCUGAGACGAAGCGUGAUUGACGGUAACGGGUAAAGAAGCACCGGCUAACUACGUG
rnacentral:rRNA from 1 species